rnacentral:tRNA from 1 species
AGGGGUAUAGCUCAGAAGUACAGCAAGUGCUUGGCAUGCAUGAGGUCCUGGGUUCAAUCUCCAGUGCCUCCG